UACAGAGGUCUCAAGCGUUGUUCGGAAUCAUUGGGCGUAAAGGGCGUGUAGGUGGUUCUGUAUGUCUACCGUGAAAGCGUACGGCUCAACCGUAUUUAGUCGGUAGAAACUGCAGGACUUGAGGCUGGGAGGGGCUGGUGGAAUUCCCCGUGUAGCGGUGAAAUGCGUAGAGAUGGGGGAGAACACUCGUGGCGAAGGCGGCCAGCUAGACCAGUUCUGACACUGAGGCGCGACAGCGUGGGGAGCAAACAGG
rnacentral:rRNA from 1 species